UACGUAGGGACCAAGCGUUGUUCGGAUUUACUGGGCGUAAAGGGCGCGUAGGCGGCGUGUUAAGUCACUUGUGAAAUCUCUAAGCUUAACUUAGAACGGUCAAGUGAUACUGAUGUGCUAGAGUGCAGAAGGGGCAACCGGAAUUCUUGGUGUAGCGGUGAAAUGCGUAGAUAUCAAGAGGAACACCUGAGGUGAAGACGGGUUGCUGGGCUGACACUGACGCUGAGGCGCGAAGGCCAGGGGAGCAAACGGG
rnacentral:rRNA from 1 species